AUCGCUUCUCGGCCUUUUGGCUAAGAUCAAGUGUAGUAUCUAGCCUGACAAUUGGAAUUCCAUCACAUGUACAUCAGCAAUUUAACGCUUU
rnacentral:snRNA from 1 species